rnacentral:rRNA from 1 species
UACGAAGGGGGCUAGCGUUGCUCGGAAUCACUGGGCGUAAAGGGUGCGUAGGCGGGUCUUUAAGUCAGGGGUGAAAUCCUGGAGCUCAACUCCAGAACUGCCUUUGAUACUGAAGAUCUUGAGUUCGGGAGAGGUGAGUGGAACUCCGAGUGUAGAGGUGAAAUUCGUAGAUAUUCGGAAGAACACCAGUGGCGAAGGCGGCUCACUGGACUGGUAUUGACGCUGAGGUGCGAAAGCGUGGGGAGCAACAGG